rnacentral:lncRNA from 1 species
AUCGUCCAUUGCGAUGGCAACUCUCCGCGUAAAAGUAAACUAAAAAGUUAACAUCUCAACCAGCUAGAUUGCAAGUUCCCAAACGCGGAUCGUGCAAAGCUGCCACUAAAUCAUCCCACCGAAACGAGCGAAACAAGACGAAAUCACGCGCCGCAAACCACGAGCCACCUACGAACCCAGCGCGGAUCAGCCGAAUUCCCGCCGGAUCUGCCGGAAUGGAGCCCGAAUCAGACAGAAUCGCG